rnacentral:rRNA from 1 species
GAUGAACGCUAGCGACAGGCUUAACACAUGCAAGUCGAGGGGCAGCAGGGGAGUAGCAAUACUCCCGCUGGCGACCGGCGCACGGGUGAGUAACACGUAUGCAACCUGCCCUUGUCAGGGGGAUAAGCGGAAGAAAUUCCGUCUAAUACCGCAUAACGCUGCGGGGAGACAUCUCCCUGCAGCCAAAGAUUUAUCGGACAAGGAUGGGCAUGCGGCGCAUUAGCUUGUUGGCGGGGUAACGGCCCACCAAGGCGACGAUGCGUAGGGGUUCUGAGAGGAAGGUCCCCCACACUGGUACUGAGACACGGACCAGACUCCUACGGGAGGCGGCAGUGAGGAAUAUUGGUCAAUGGCCGGGAGGCUGAACCAGCCAAGUCGCGUGAGGGAAGACGGUCCUAUGGAUUGUAAACCUUUUUUGUCAGGGAGCAAAAACUGCCACGCGUGGCAGGAUGAGAGUACCUGAAGAAAAAGCAUCGGCUAACUCCGUGCCAGCAGCCGCGGUAAUACGGAGGAUGCGAGCGUUAUCCGGAUUUAUUGGGUUUAAAGGGUGCGUAGGCGGACAGUUAAGUCAGCGGUAAAAUUGAGAGGCUCAACCUCUUCCCGCCGUUGAAACUGAUUGUCUUGAGUGGGCGAGAAGUAUGCGGAAUGCGUGGUGCAGCGGUGAAAUGCAUAGAUAUCACGCAGAACUCCGAUUGCGAAGGCAGCAUACCGGCGCCCAACUGACGCUGAAGCACGAAAGCGUGGGUAUCGAACAGGAUUAGAUACCCUGGUAGUCCACGCAGUAAACGAUGAAUACUAAUUGUUCGGGUCGAGUGAGAUCUGAGUGAUACAGCGAAAGCGUUAAGUAUUCCACCUGGGGAGUACGCCGGCAACGGUGAAACUCAAAGGAAUUGACGGGGGCCCGCACAAGCGGAGGAACAUGUGGUUUAAUUCGAUGAUACGCGAGGAACCUUACCCGGGCUCAAACGACACAGGAAUGAUCUGAGAAAUCAGGCAGUCCUUCGGGACCUGUGUCGAGGUGCUGCAUGGUUGUCGUCAGCUCGUGCCGUGAGGUGUCGGCUUAAGUGCCAUAACGAGCGCAACCCCCAUCGACAGUUGCCAGCAGGUCAAGCUGGGCACUCUGUCGAGACUGCCGGCGCAAGCUGUGAGGAAGGCGGGGAUGACGUCAAAUCAGCACGGCCCUUACGUCCGGGGCGACACACGUGUUACAAUGGCAGGUACAGCGGGAAGCCACCUGGCGACAGGGAGCGGAACCCGAAAGCCUGUCUCAGUUCGGAUUGGAGUCUGCAACUCGACUCCAUGAAGCUGGAUUCGCUAGUAAUCGCGCAUCAGCCACGGCGCGGUGAAUACGUUCCCGGGCCU